GCCCGGGUGGUGGAAUGGUAUACACGAAGGACUUAAAAUCCUUUGAGCGAAAGCUCAUGUGGGUUCGACUCCCACUCCGGGCACCA
rnacentral:tRNA from 1 species